AGGGGGCGGGGCAUCCUGUAGGAGUCCGCUGGCUUCCUGGUAGCCAGGAAGGAGCGGAGCAUAUGCGGAAGUGGGAAGCUGCGGAGGAGCUCCGGGAGCUCGGGGUCUGAAGGGAGGGAGUCCUCUCGAAGGUCCGGGUGGAGUCUCUCUCCUAAGGGCAGGGCCAGGGCCUUUGUGACUCCUGUGGAGCCUCACUCUUGUAAAUCCCUGUAGACCAGUUUGAUGCCUAGGAAGAGAAGAGCAAGACCUCUCCCCCUCUGGGAUCCUUCUCCCUGCCCAGCUCAGUCUGCAGAGGACCAAGGCCUGGCCCCAGCAGGGAGCCUGGAGCCAGAGGGAAUGGCCCCUAGGAGCAGCAGCCCUCCUCUCCAGGGGUUGGUGACAUUCAAGGACGUGGCUGUGGACUUCACCCAGGAGGAGUGGGGCCUCUUGGACCAUGCUCAAAAGGAGUUGUACGAGGGGGUCAUGCUGCAGAAUGCCCAGAACCUGCUCUCUCUGGGGCUGCCAGUUCCCAGAGAAGUCGUGAUUUCCUACUUUGAGCAAAGGGAAGCACCAUGGAUGCUGGAGCAAGAGGGCCUGAGGAGCUGCGGUCCAGAAGAAGAGAUCAGAUGGGAAAUGAAGGAAACUGCUGCAGAGCUACCCCUUUCUGUAAAAGUAACUCACAAGCAAAGAUUCAUGAGUGAUGGUCCUUCUGACUUCAGUCGGAGAGAAAUCUGCACAACACCUGAGAAUAUCCUAACUGUGGAGAAAUAUGACUGUAAACAGUGUGGAAAGGGUUUUAGAGGGAAGAGAUGUCUUAUUACACAUCAGAGAAUCCACACUGCAGAAAGACCUUAUGAAUGCAAUCAGUGCGGAAAGGCUUUUGCAUCGAAGGACAGUCUUAUUAUACAUGAGAGAAUCCACACUGGAGAGAAACCUUAUGAAUGUUUUCAAUGUGGAAAAGCUUUCAUACAGCGGGCUCAUCUUAUUAGACAUCUAACAACACACACUAGAGAGAAACUUUAUGAAUGUAAUCAUUGUGGAAAAGCUUUUCAAUCAUGGGAGAUUCUUACUCUACAUGAGAGAAUCCACACUGGAGAGAAACCUUAUGAAUGUUAUCAAUGUGGAAAAGCUUUGAAAUCAAGGGAGAGUCUUACUCGACAUCAGAGAAUCCACAGUGGAGACAAACCUUAUAAAUGUAAUCAAUGUGGAAAGGCUUUUACAUGGAAGGAUGGUCUUAUUAUACAUGAGAGAAUCCACACUGGGGAGAAACCUUAUGAAUGUUAUCAAUGUGGAAAAGCUUUUAUACAGCAGGCUCAUCUUGUUAGACAUCUGACAACACACACUAGAGAGAAACCUUAUGAAUGUAAUCAAUGUGGAAAAGCUUUGAAAUCAAGGGGCAGUCUUAUUCGACAUCACAGAAUCCACACUGGAGAGGCUUUUCAAUCAUGGGACAGUCUUACUCUACAUCAGAGAAUCCACACUGGAGAGAAACCUUAUGAAUGUAAUCAAUGUGGAAAAGCUUUGAAAUCCAGGGACAGUCUUACUCGACAUCAGAGAAUCCACACUGGAGAGAAACCAUAUGAAUGUAAUCAAUGUGGAAAAGCUUUUAAAUGGAGAGAAAGUCUUACUCUACAUCAGAGAAUCCACACUGGAGAGGAACCUUAUAAAUGUUAUCAAUGUGGAAAGACAUACAGAUGGCAGGAACGUCUUGUUGAACAUCAGAGAAUCCACACUGGAGAGAAACCUUAUAAAUGUGAUGAAUGUGGAAAGACUUUUAGAGGUAGGAGGUCUCUGCGUGAACAUCAGAAGAUCCACACAGGAGAGAAACAUUGUUAAUGUAAUCAAUGUGCAAAAGCUUUUACAAGGAAGGCUUGUCUUACUAUAUAUUAGAGAAACCACACUGGAAUAAAAUCUUAUGAAUGUGAUCAAUGUGGAAAAACUUAAAUGGUGAAACAGUCUUACUGUACAUCAGAGAAUCAACACUGGAGAGAAAAUGUAUGAAUGAAAUCAUUGUGGAAAAACUUAUACAUCUAGGGACAGUUUUCUUCAACUUCAAAAGAUCCAGAUAUGUCACCAAGGCAGUAUUCACAAUAGUUGUGAUCAUUGUAUGUCAGCAUGGUUCUGUUUAAUGAAAUAUAACAGACUCUCCACAUAGAAGACAGAAGAAGCAAAAUAUUUAUUCAAACACCAGAGAACCAAAUCCCAAAACAGAUUUUGGGUCAUCAUUCUGACUAAUGAUGUACUUCCUCCUAAUGGCCUGUUACUCAAAUUACGUAAAGCUGUGAACAAAUUAUCCUUCCAAUGUUGGUAUGGAUUAUUAGAACUUGACAAAUCUUACAGAUCUUGAACCCUUGUAUCCAAGUGAAUCAUACCUUCAAGGAGACCAGGGAAUAGGCCGAGCCCCAGCACAGAUUAAAGAAACAGACGGAAUUACAAACCGCUCAUGUUAAUCUGACUGUGUAUAGGAAAAAUCGAUCAAAUCCUGUUACUAGGGCAAUGAUGGAUACUGGGGUAGAGGCCGACCUGAUUUGUGGAAACCUUGACAGAUUUAAGCGUGGAUCUUCUAUUACCAUCACUGGACUAGGAGGGUUAUCAGCCAAACAAGUCAAACUACUGAUGAAAACUGGAAAAUUGCCUAAGAAAGAAUAUACUGUGGUCAUUAUACCCAUCCCUGAAUACAUCAUUGGAAUAGAUAUAUUGAAAGGUAUGACUCUGAAUUUGCCUGAGGGGAGAAACCAACUUGCAGUAAGGAAGAUAGGAAUCAAUACAGUUUUAGUGGGAAAAAUAAAAAUGGACGCAAUCACUUUACCUAAAACUCCUAAAGUAAUUACUUUGUAGCAGUUUUGUGUGCCAGAUGGGCAAGAUGUAAUUGCCAAUACUGUAAAGGAAUAUGUUGAAGCAGCAGUAUUAGUCUCGAAGAAGUAAUCCUCUAUGGCUAUCAUGAAAGUCAGAUGGAACAUGGAGAAUGACCGUGGACUAUAGACAGUUAAAUAAAGUGACUCCUCCCUUGUAUGCUGCUGUUCCAGAUAAUGUUACCUUCAUAGAAGUUAUCCAGAAAUAUGAGACUUGGCACGCAGGUAUUGAUUUGGGCAAUGCUUGCAUUAUGAUCCCAAUAGACUCCAAAUAGUGUGACUGGUUUGCUUUCAUGUGGCAGGGCUGAAAAUAUACUUUCACAUGCUUGACACGACAAUAUCUUCAUAGCCCAAGUAUUUGGAAUGGGAUUAUGGCUAAACAUUUAGUUGAAUUGAAGUUACCUGAUGUACAGCUUGCCCACUACAUAGAUGAUAUUUUCAUACAGUUAGAAACUAAAAGAAGUGGAGAAGAGUUUGAUACUUUUAUUUCUGUGUAUGAAAAGCAAAUGAUGGGAAAUUAACCUUAAAAGAUUCAAGGCCCAGCUCAAACUGUAAAAUUUUGGGGUAUUCAAUGGAAUAAAGGA